GAUUUGCGAUCAGGUGCUCUGACCCAAAGCCUUCCUAACACAACUCAUACACUGUUUCCUUAGCUGCUGUCUAAAGUGACUUGGAGUCAAAACUGGUCAACAAGAUUGGAACUAUUCGCAACUGAAAUACCUACUAAUGCUUUCUGGCUUUAAAAGAACUGCACAGCAUUGGCUACAUAUGUUUACCAUUAUCCACAGAACUGUCAGACCCUUUAUUCCAGUGGAGGCAUGCAUGGAAAUAGGCCAGAAUGCGAAGGAACACAGUUCCGGUAGUGAAAUUAGCAACUGGACAACAUUCCCAGGGAAGUGGCUGAGUUCAGUUCUGGCAAAAAUCCCAUGGCUGCUGGUACAAAAAACAAACAAAAAAAAAAAAAAAAGAAGAAGAAGAAAAGAAGAAGCAGCAGCAGAAGGAAAAAAAAAGAAAAGAAAGAAAAAGAAAAGAAAAAGAAAAACUGUGGCUAAAAUUUAUCCCAGGGAACAAAAGGGAGGCGAAAAUAUAUAAUUUGCACAGCCUAUCA